rnacentral:tRNA from 1 species
CUGGUGGCUCUGUUGGUUAGAGCAUUGUCCUGAUAUGUCAAGGUUGCAGGUUCAAUCCCUGAUCAG